rnacentral:rRNA from 1 species
CCUACGGGAGGCUGCAGUGAGGAAUAUUGGUCAAUGGACGAGAGUCUGAACCAGCCAAGUAGCGUGAAUGAUGACUGCCCUAUGGGUUGUAAACUUCUUUUAUAUGGGAAUAAAACGUUCCACGUGUGGGAUUUUGUAUGUACCAUAUGAAUAAGGAUCGGCUAACUCCGUGCCAGCAGCCGCGGUAAUACGGAGGAUCCGAGCGUUAUCCGGAUUUAUUGGGUUUAAAGGGAGCGUAGGUGGAUUGUUAAGUCAGUUGUGAAAGUUUGCGGCUCAACCGUAAAAUUGCAGUUGAAACUGGCAGUCUUGAGUACAGUAGAGGUGGGCGGAAUUCGUGGUGUAGCGGUGAAAUGCUUAGAUAUCACGAAGAACUCCGAUUGCGAAGGCAGUUCACUGGACUGCAACUGACACUGAGGCUCGAAAGUGUGGGUAUCAAACAGGAUUAGAUACCCCAGUAGUC